UACAGAGGUCCCAAGCGUUGUUCGGAUUUACUGGGCGUAAAGGGCGCGUAGGCGGCCAGCACAAGUCAGUUGUGAAAUCCCCGAGCUUAACUCGGAACGGUCAACUGAUACUGUGCGGCUAGAGUGCGGAAGGGGCAACUGGAAUUCUUGGUGUAGCGGUGAAAUGCGUAGAUAUCAAGAGGAACACCUGCGGCGAAGGCGGGUUGCUGGGCCGACACUGACGCUGAGGCGCGAAAGCUAGGGGAGCGAACGGG
rnacentral:rRNA from 1 species